GAUGAACGCUGGCGGCGUGCCUAAUACAUGCAAGUCGAGCGAACAGAUGAGGAGCUUGCUCCUCUGACGUUAGCGGCGGACGGGUGAGUAACACGUGAUAACCUACCUAUAAGACUGGGAUAACUUCGGGAAACCGGAGCUAAUACCGGAUAAUAUAUUGAACCGCAUGGUUCAAUAGUGAAAGACGGUUUUGCUGUCACUUAUAGAUGGAUCCGCGCCGCAUUAGCUAGUUGGUAAGGUAACGGCUUACCAAGGCAACGAUGCGUAGCCGACCUGAGAGGGUGAUCGGCCACACUGGAACUGAGACACGGUCCAGACUCCUACGGGAGGCAGCAGUAGGGAAUCUUCCGCAAUGGGCGAAAGCCUGACGGAGCAACGCCGCGUGAGUGAUGAAGGUCUUCGGAUCGUAAAACUCUGUUAUUAGGGAAGAACAAAUGUGUAAGUAACUAUGCACGUCUUGACGGUACCUAAUCAGAAAGCCACGGCUAACUACGUG
rnacentral:rRNA from 1 species